GAUGAACGCUAGCGGCAGGCUUAACACAUGCAAGUCGAGGGGUAUUGGUUUUCGGACCAAGAGACCGGCGCACGGGUGCGUAACGCGUAUGCAAUCUACCUUUUGCAGAGGGAUAGCCCCAGAGAAAUUUGGAUUAAUACCUCAUAGUAUAGUACUUUGGCAUCAAGGAACUAUUAAAGUCACAACGGCAAAAGAUGAGCAUGCGUCCCAUUAGCUAGUUGGUAAGGUAACGGCUUACCAAGGCUACGAUGGGUAGGGGUUCUGAGAGGGAGAUCCCCCCACACUGGUACUGAGACACGGUCCAGACUCCUACGGGAGGCAGCAGUGAGGAAUAUUGGACAAUGGGCGCAAGCCUGAUCCAGCCAUGCCGCGUGCAGGAAGAAGGUCCUAUGGAUUGUAAACUGCUUUUAUACAAGAAGAACACUCCCUGUGAGGGAACUUGACGGUACUGUAUGAAUAAGGACCGGCUAACUCCGNGCCAGCAGCCGCGGUAAU
rnacentral:rRNA from 1 species